UAACACGUGGGUAACGUACCCGAUAGUUUGGGAUAACGUUCCGAAAGGGACGCGUAAUACCGGAUGUGAUGUUAAAACGCUGGUUUUAACAAGAAAGGUGGGACCGCAAGGGCCUGCCGCUAACGGAACGGCCCGCGACCUAUUAGCUAGUUGGUGGGUAAAGGCCUACCAAGGCGAGGAUGGGUAGCCGAACUGAGAGGUUGACCGGCCACACUGGGACUGAGACACUGCCCAGACUUCUACGGAAGGCUGCAGUCGAGAAUCAUUCACAAGUGGACGAAAGUCUGGAUGAUGCGACGCCGCGUGCGCCGAUGAAGGUCUUCGGAUUGUAAAGCGCUUUGAACAGGGAAGAAUGCCGCGUAUUUAAUAGAUAACGCGGGGGGACAGUACCUGACAAACAAGCCCCGGCUAAUUUCGUGCCAGCAGCCGC
rnacentral:rRNA from 1 species